rnacentral:rRNA from 1 species
AGGGUUUGAUUAUGGCUCAGAACGUACGCUGGCGGCACGCCUAACACAUGCAAGUCGAACGCAGUAGCAAUACUGAGUGGCAAACGGGUGAGUAACAUGUAGGUAUCUGCCCUUUGGCCUGGAAUAACACGAGGAAACUUGUGCUAAUACCGGAUAAGUCUUUACGGAGAAAGCUUUAUGCACCAUUGGAUGAGCCUGCACUUGAUUAGUUUGUUGGUGGGGUAAUGGCCUACCAAGACUGUGAUCAAUAGCUGAUUUGAGAGGAUGAUCAGCCACAUUGGGACUGAGACACGGCCCAAACUCCUACGGGAGGCAGCAGUGGGGAAUCUUGCACAAUGGAGGAAACUCUGAUGCAGCGAUGCCGCGUGAGUGAAGAAGGCCCUUGGGUUGUAAAGCUCUUUCGUCGGGGAAGAAAAUGACUGUACCCGAAUAAGAAGGUCCGGCUAACUUCGUGCCAGCCGCCGCGGUAAUUC